GGGCCUGUGAUCUAGUGGCUAUGAUGUCGCCUUUACACGGCGAAUAUCCCCAGUUCGAAUUUUAGCGAAAGUCUGGGCAGGCCCA
rnacentral:tRNA from 1 species